rnacentral:rRNA from 1 species
AUGUGGGUUAAAAGUAGAAAGGGUGCCGACAUCUUGCACGGUCACGAUAGUAAGGUAUGUCAGAGGGUAGACUGGCAUUUAUGUUGGCAACAACGUUGGUACCAAGGGCGAGGGACAAAGAGAACCAUCUUCUUGUUCGUUGAACGAGGCGGACUAAUAGGCAAAGUUCUCGUCCAUCGGUGGUUACCGGAAUGCUAUCAACAAAAGCAACAGGGUCUUAUUGACAGGGUUGUACACCAAGGUGUUUACAUAAGAAGAAGAACGUUACUUCUUAGAUCAUAUAGGUCAUCAGAAAGGGUAAUCAAAGCAAUGGAAAGGAAAAGGUGA